GAACGGCAGCACAGGGAGCUUGCUCCCGGGUGGCGAGUGGCGCACGGGUGAGUAAUACAUCGGAACGUGUCCUGUUGUGGGGGAUAACUGCUCGAAAGGGUGGCUAAUACCGCAUGAGACCUGAGGGUGAAAGCGGGGGAUCGCAAGACCUCGCGCAAUUGGAGCGGCCGAUGCCCGAUUAGCUAGUUGGUGAGGUAAAGGCUCACCAAGGCGACGAUCGGUAGCUGGUCUGAGAGGACGACCAGCCACACUGGGACUGAGACACGGCCCAGACUCCUACGGGAGGCAGCAGUGGGGAAUUUUGGACAAUGGGGGCAACCCUGAUCCAGCCAUGCCGCGUGCAGGAUGAAGGCCUUCGGGUUGUAAACUGCUUUUGUCAGGGACGAAAAGGACCGUGUUAAUACCAUGGUCUGCUGACGGUACCUGAAGAAUAAGCACCGGCUAACUACGUGCCAGCAGCCGCGGUAAUACGUAGGGUGCAAGCGUUAAUCGGAAUUACUGGGCGUAAAGCGUGCGCAGGCGGUUCUGUAAGACAGAUGUGAAAUCCCCGGGCUCAACCUGGGAAUUGCAUUUGUGACUGCAGGACUAGAGUUCAUCAGAGGGGGGUAGAAUUCCAAGUGUAGCAGUGAAAUGCGUAGAUAUUUGGAAGAACACCAAUGGCGAAGGCAGCCCCCUGGGAUGCGACUGACGCUCAUGCACGAAAGCGUGAGGAGCAAACAGGAUUAGAUACCCUGGUAGUCCACGCCCUAAACGAUGUCUACUG
rnacentral:rRNA from 1 species